AUGGCUGUGCGAGCGUAGGCGUGGCUGAUGCGGGUCAAUGUAGUAUCUGUUUUAUCAGCUUUAUAUCUGAUACGCUUUAUACUUGGACCCAAAAUAUUUAACUUAUUUUUGCAAGUUGGCGGGGCGCUUGAAGCCUGCUUCACCUCCGCCGCGGGUCGGCCUGGUAUUGCACUAUCUCCUGGAUCGGCUCACGGUAU